CCUUCGGGGUGAAGCUCGUGGAACGAGCGGCGGACGGGUGAGUAACACGUGGGCAACCUGCCUGUAAGAUCGGAAUAACCCCGGGAAACCGGGGCUAAUGCCGGGUAAUACUUUUCUUCGCAUGAAGAUGAGUUGAAAGAUGGCUUCUCGCUAUCACUUACAGAUGGGCCCGCGGCGCAUUAGCUAGUUGGUGAGGUAACGGCUCACCAAGGCAACGAUGCGUAGCCGACCUGAGAGGGUGAUCGGCCACACUGGGACUGAGACACGGCCCAGACUCCUACGGGAGGCAGCAGUAGGGAAUCUUCCGCAAUGGACGAAAGUCUGACGGAGCAACGCCGCGUGAACGAUGAAGGUCUUCGGAUCGUAAAGUUCUGUUGUCAGGGAAGAACAAGUACCGUGCGAAUAGAGCGGUACCUUGACGGUACCUGACGAGGAAGCCCCGGCUAACUACGUGCCAGCAGCCGCGGUAAUACGUAGGGGGCAAGCGUUGUCCGGAAUUAUUGGGCGUAAAGCGCGCGCAGGCGGUUCCUUAAGUCUGAUGUGAAAGCCCACGGCUCAACCGUGGAGGGUCAUUGGAAACUGGGGAACUUGAGGACAGAAGAGGAGAGUGGAAUUCCACGUGUAGCGGUGAAAUGCGUAGAUAUGUGGAGGAACACCAGUGGCGAAGCGACUCUCUGGUCUGUUUCUGACGCUGAGGUGCGAAAGCGUGGGUAGCAAACAGGAUUAGAUACCCUGGUAGUCCACGCCGUAAACGAUGAGUGCUAGGUGUUAAGGGGCUUCA
rnacentral:rRNA from 1 species